rnacentral:rRNA from 1 species
ACACAUGCAAGUCGAGGGGCAGCGGGAUUGAAGCUUGCUUCAAUUGCCGGCGACCGGCGCACGGGUGAGUAACGCGUAUCCAACCUUCCGUACACCCAGGGAUAGCCUUUCGAAAGAAAGAUUAAUACCUGAUGGUAUGAUGAGAUUGCAUGAUAGCAUCAUUAAAGAUUUAUCGGUGUACGAUGGGGAUGCGUUCCAUUAGGUAGUAGGCGGGGUAACGGCCCACCUAGCCGACGAUGGAUAGGGGUUCUGAGAGGAAGGUCCCCCACAUUGGAACUGAGACACGGUCCAAACUCCUACGGGAGGCAGCAGUGAGGAAUAUUGGUCAAUGGACGAGAGUCUGAACCAGCCAAGUAGCGUGAAGGAUGAAGGUCCUACGGAUUGUAAACUUCUUUUAUAAGGGAAUAAAACCUCCCACGUGUGGGAACUUGUAUGUACCUUAUGAAUAAGCAUCGGCUAACUCCGUGCCAGCAGCCGCGGUAAUACGGAGGAUGCGAGCGUUAUCCGGAUUUAUUGGGUUUAAAGGGAGCGCAGACGGGUCGUUAAGUCAGCUGUGAAAGUUUGGGGCUCAACCUUAAAAUUGCAGUUGAUACUGGCGUCCUUGAGUGCGGUUGAGGUGUGCGGAAUUCGUGGUGUAGCGGUGAAAUGCUUAGAUAUCACGAAGAACUCCGAUUGCGAAGGCAGCACACUAAGCCGUAACUGACGUUCAUGCUCGAAAGUGUGGGUAUCAA